UGUUAAGCACACACAUAAGGAGGAGG
rnacentral:piRNA from 1 species